UAAUACGGAGGGUAGCAAGCGUUACUCGGAAUCACUGGGCGUAAAGGGCGCGUAGGCUUUUUAUUAAGUCUCGAGUGAAAGCCUACAGCUUAACUGUAGAACUGCUCGGGGAAACUGAUAGAAUAGAGUAUGGAAGAGGUAGGUGGAAUUUCCAGUGUAGGGGUAAAAUCCGUAGAUAUUGGAAGGAAUACCAGAAGCGAAGGCGACCUACUGGGACAUUACUGACGCUGAGGCGCGAAAGCGUGGGGAGCAAACAGGAUUAGAUACCCUGGUAGUCCACGCCCUAAACGAUGAAUGUUAGUCGUCGGGUAGCUAGUCUAUUCGGUGACGCAGCUAACGCGUUAAACAUUCCGCCUGGGGAGUACGGCCGCAAGGUUAAAACUCAAAGGAAUAGACGGGGACCCGCACAAGCGGUGGAGCAUGUGGUUUAAUUCGAAGAUACGCGAAGAACCUUACCCGGACUUGACAUGUAAAGAAUCCUGCAGAAAUGUAAGAGUGCUAGCUUGCUAGAACUUUAACACAGGUG
rnacentral:rRNA from 1 species